UACGGUCAUAUCACGUUAAAACACCGUUUCUCAUACGAGCUCUGAAGUUAAGCAACGUCGAGUUUGGUCGGUACGUUGAUGGGUGACCAUUUGGGAAUACCAG